rnacentral:rRNA from 1 species
UAAUACCGCAUACGUUCUACGGAAGAAAGUGGGGGAUCUUCGGACCUCAUGCUUUUGGAGCGGCCGAUGUCUGAUUAGCUAGUUGGUGGGGUAAAGGCUCACCAAGGCGACGAUCAGUAGCUGGUCUGAGAGGACGACCAGCCACACUGGAACUGAGACACGGUCCAGACUCCUACGGGAGGCAGCAGUGGGGAAUUUUGGACAAUGGGCGCAAGCCUGAUCCAGCAAUGCCGCGUGAGUGAAGAAGGCCUUCGGGUUGUAAAGCUCUUUUGUCAGGGAAGAAACGGUUCCGGCUAAUAUCCGGGGCUAAUGACGGUACCUGAAGAAUAAGCACCGGCUAACUACGUGCCAGCAGCCGCGGUAAUACGUAGGGUGCAAGCGUUAAUCGGAAUUACUGGGCGUAAAGCGUGCGCAGGCGGUUUUGUAAGUCUGUCGUGAAAGCCCCGGGCUCAACCUGGGAAUUGCGAUGGAGACUGCAAGGCUUGAAUCUGGCAGAGGGGGGUAGAAUUCCACGUGUAGCAGUGAAAUGCGUAGAGAUGUGGAGGAACACCGAUGGCGAAGGCAGCCCCCUGGGUCAAGAUUGACGCUCAUGCACGAAAGCGU